CAGCCGCCGCGGUAACACGUAGGGUGCGAGCGUUAAUCGGAAUUACUGGGCGUAAAGCGGGCGCAGACGGGUACUUAAGCAGGAUGUGAAAUCCCCGGGCUCAACCUGGGAACUGCGUUCUGAACUGGGUGACUAGAGUGUGUCAGAGGGAGGUAGAAUUCCACGUGUAGCAGUGAAAUGCGUAGAGAUGUGGAGGAAUACCGAUGGCGAAGGCAGCCUCCUGGGAUAACACUGACGUUCAUGCCCGAAGGCGUGGGUAGCAGACAGGAUUAGAGACCCCGGUAGUCCCUGUCUCUUAUAC
rnacentral:rRNA from 1 species